GCUGAUGAAGAGCGAUAAGUGUCUUUCACUGGGGAGGAGAGGAUUUUAAUAACGGUGGCUGAUGACUCCUGCCCUGCUCCGCUGAGAUACAGAGGCUCAUUCUUCUUCCCUUUAAUAACCCAGCACGACUGCACCGGGGAGGGAGCCAGAGCUGGCCGCUUCUCGCCCCGGUGGUGCCCGCCCUCCACCGCCAGCCCAGGCAGAUGUGACUGCUGUUGAAGAACAAUAUCCAGAUCCCUUGCUCUGAGCACCUCCUCCCCGAGAAUGCAGUGAGGGGCUUUAGGAACUUUGCCCUGAAUGGAAAUAAUUCCGAAAUGACCAUCCCUUUAAUUACAAUGAAUGACUCUGAAGUCCAAAGCCAGUGGACUGUGUGCUUUGUGGAUGGAAAUGAUCAGAUGAUAUAAUGGGGACAAAGAACACGGAUCUAAAAGGUGGGACACCUGCUUUGUAAUUGCACAUUUUCUGCUGAGUAGCUCUGUGAAUCAGGGGCCUGCCCAGCUGCUUGGGAGGAUUAAAUUGCCUGAAUGCAGUAAACCUCUCCUCCAGUUAAGACACCUCUUCCUGGGCAGAGCGUGGAAGCCAUGAGCCUUGGAGUCCCUCCUGGCCCUCCCCUCAUGUCACACACACUGACAAGGACCGCGCAGAGAACACUGGCUGUGCCCCUGGAGCGACACACAACCCACAGUCAGCCGGAGGAAGAGAUGCCAACAGAGCCAGAUCCUCAACCCUCUGCUGGGUGUCUCCCUUGCUCUUACUUGGCCUCAGCCUGUUUCUGAUGAGUCAUUGCCAUUGCUUGAUCCUCCCCACCCAUAUCCAUCAUCCUGCUUCCUGUUGGCCCCACCUGUCCCUGCUCAGAACCCAAGAUUCAUCUUCUGGCCCUGCCUCAUGGAGAUUCCAUUUAGUGUUCUGAAUACUAAUACAUCCAUGGUUUCACCUCAUUCUGAACUGAAGUUCGCCUUCAUUUUCUUAUGCAUGAAUGGGACUGUAAGUCCUCUCAUCAGGACAAGGGCAAGAUGGAAACCAUGUGGUUCUCAGAGAAGAGAGGUCAGGGAAACAAGCACUGUUCUUAUUUUGAGGUAUGACCAAAGAUAAUGAGGUUGAUAUUUCAGACAACAAUGCAUGUACACAAAUUAAUCUUCCCCCAUUCACCUU
ensembl:lncRNA